rnacentral:rRNA from 1 species
AUGACCCUGCGCCGGAUAGCGCACGAGGUGGUCGGCAUUCCUAUAGAAGAACUGCGCGCCGUAAAUGAGGACCCGCUGGCGAGCAUGCCCGCCGAUGCGGUUCUCGAGCCCGGCACGAAGGUGAGGUUGCCUGUGGUCUUGGACUAUCAGGGCAGUCCCUACGGAAUGGCGCUGCACCUGGGUAGUGCCGAGGCGCAGCUGCAGGACUGUGAGGCGCUCCUCGACUCUCUCGUGAGCUCGUGGGAGGGCGAAUAUGGCUCUCACAGUUUGGAGUGCCUUCCUCCACGUAAGGUGUGCUCGCAGACGGAGGCGGUGUUGGCCAAGGUGCACGAGGAGGCGAUUCGGCAACUGCCCAAGGUCGACGCGGGUCUUCAGCGGUUGGGGAGCAGAGAGUCAAAGCUGCCGCUUCUGGUGGAAGUCGGGGCGAUCAAGGCAGCCGAGCGCGCCAUUGAGGAGUCGUUCCAGCGAGCCGUCGCGGGGCUCGAGAGUUUCAAGAAGGAAAAUGAAGCUUGUGGAAGAGUCGCCCCGGCAUCGUUGAGCUCUAACGACCUCACCCCGGCUUCCCUUCACACGAAGCGCGACGAGGGCGAAGACUACUGCGUCCUGCACACGCAUCGGUGGGAGUUCGCGGUUCAUGGAGUGCGCUCGAAGGAACCGCGGGAGGUUUGGGCGGUGCUCUCCUGCCAGCCGCUCGUGGCGCUGCUGGACGCGAUCGACUGCCCGGCAACACGAGACCCGCUCACCACCUCCCGAAAUGCCUUCUUCUUCAUCCACGGCGUCUUCUACAUCGACGACCGGCAUCGAGCACAAGCGGACUUUGUCGACCUCAGCGAGGUUAUCCGGGGGAACGAUCCUUUGCAGGACGCGUCGAGCUUUCACGCUCCCGAGCACCAGGGCUUUUCUCGGUGCCCCGUGAAGAGCGCAGCAGAGACCGCGUUCAAGGACCUCAACAUCAAGAUGGGUGAGUCGUGCCUGCUGCGGCACUGCGGCGGAUGCGACCACUACUUCUUCCUGUCGCAUGCCCGAAGCCUAAGCGGCUACCCGCGCAAGGAGCGACAUGAGUUCCCGCACCGUGUGGCCAAAGUACGAGACCAGGCAAGGCGGUGUCUGCUCUGUCGAUUGUUUCCGGCCACGAUCGCGCUCUACGAGGACCCACUUUCACCUGAGAGUCCGGCCUUUUACUGCGCGGUGUGCUUUGAUCUUCUACACAGCGGCGACACCCCCGAGGAGGCGGCGCAGUACCAGCGGCGCGAAGCGAAGGACUUUGGUGAGGUUUACUUCAAGGCGACGUAG